AGUGAACGCUGGCGGCAGGCCUAACACAUGCAAGUCGAACGGCAGCACAGUAAGAGCUUGCUCUUACGGGUGGCGAGUGGCGGACGGGUGAGGAAUACAUCGGAAUCUACUUUUUCGUGGGGGAUAACGUAGGGAAACUUACGCUAAUAUCGCAUCCGACCUACGGGUGAAAGCAGGGGAUCUUUGGACCUUGCGCGAUUGAAUGAGCCGAUGUCGGAUUAGUUAGUUGGCGGGGUAAAGGCCCACCAAGGCGACGAUCCGUAGCUGGGCUGAGAGGAUGAGCAGCCACACUGGAACUGAGACACGGUCCAGACUCCUACGGGAGGCAGCAGUGGGGAAUAUUGGACAAUGGGCGCAAGCCUGAUCCAGCCAUGCCGCGUGGGUGAAGAAGGCCUUCGGGUUGUAAAGCCCUUUUGUUGGGAAAGAAAAGCAGCAGGUUAAUACCGCGGUGUUCUGACGGUACCCGAAGAAUAAGCACCGGCUAACUUCGUG
rnacentral:rRNA from 1 species